GAUCUUUCCAUGCAGUUAUAAAAAUUGUUCCAUAUGCCUGGACGAAUGAAAACAAUAUUAUGACAGUCUAGAAAUGAUCAAGAUAAACAUGCAAGAUAAUGCAAAAGAAAAUGCUGGAAGAAUUAAAAUAAAACAAUACUUUCAUAGUAAUUAAUUGAUUAUUCCAGGGAUGAAAUGAUGCUAAGUUCGACAGAAUCCGUAAGAAAAACUUUAAAAUGGUAUAAAAAACUCUUUUUUCACGUUGUGGAUCUAUGUGUUUUGAACAGCCAUGCAUUAUUUCUAACCCAAAAUCCAGGAAAGUUACCACUAGCAGAUUUUCAAUUAAAUCUUACUCGGCAACUUCUUGAGAGUUUUGUUGCACCAAAAACUAUGUCAGUAAGGGCUGCACCAAGUCAUCAACGUCUUACGGGGCGUCAUUUUCCUGCUAUAUACCAAACAACAAAGUUCGAAGAUGCAUUGUUUGUUCACAAUCCAAAAUUCGGGAGAAAAAGAAGCGACGAGAUUCCAGAUAUAAGUCCUUCGUAAAACUUUGUUUGUCUCAUUUUUAGAGUGUAGUAUAAAUACGU